CCGAGCUGCCGGAGACUCCGCGUCCCGUCUUCAUCCCGCAUCGGCGCUAGCGACGGCCAUGACUCCCCGCCCCAUCUUCAUCCCGCAUCGGCGCCGGCGGUGGCAAGUACUCCCCGCCCCGUCUUCGUCCCGCAUCGGCGCCGGUGGCGGCCCCGCCCUAUCUCCCUACGCAUCGGCGCCGCCCACGAUUCCCCGUGCCGUUUCCGUCCCGCAUCGGCGUGGCCCCCGCGCGAGGAAUAGCCACCGGCCGGCAGGGUGGGUCUGCGCCGGCAACAGGCGGCGGCAGCAGCAGCCCGAUCUGGUCCGGCCGGAUUGGGGCAGGGCUUCAUCGCGCGGCCGGUAAACUUGCAGCCGCAUGAUAUCUCAUUAGCUCCGUCCUCUCGUGCUUGUGCAGGUGGAUUUGGAGCACAAUCAAUAUAGGUCAUUUCAAGGUUUGACCUGCUUGAUGCAGAUUUCAACCAGAACAGAAGACUUUAUUGUGACACUCUUAAGCUCCGCAUAUACAUUAGUCUCUACUUGCAAGAACCUUUUAAAGAUCCAACCAAGAGAAAGGUUUUGAAGAACUCAUCAGUAGUUUCUGUCUAUACGCACUCAGAUUUCUGGUUGCUAAUUUGUUCUUCGUGAAAUAGGUAAUACAUGGUGUGGAUCGUGAUAUAAUGUGGCUCCAACGGGAUUUCCACAUUUACAUAUGCAAUUUUUUGACACAGGACAGUUAAUUUUCAAACAAGGACCAAUAAUCCCAUGAAAAGGCCAUGCACUUUGCUUCUUUCCGUAUUCUCCUCGAAACACUCAUCUCAAUGUUUAAUAGACUGAAGCUUGGUCUUUCUUUCCAAACUUAAUCAGGCUUCAAGGGUCUUACGGAUGGAGAGAAACAGCCUAGAAUACCUAUUGGUUCGCUUUUGUGGAGUGACAGCAAAGGAAUAUUAAAAUGCAGACUGGAGGUCGAGGCCACUUCCUGAUGAAAUGAUCAAGUAAUGUGCACUCUGCGCAGGUGUAAUUGGAUCAAUCCGCACAGGUGGUGCAUGCUCCUCCUGUUGCGCAAGUGGUGUAUGGUCGUGGUCUUGUGCAUCAGGAUUGAUGGGUGGCACCGAAGAAUUAGCUUCGUCCACGUCCAUGUGGAGGAGAGGGAGGAGGUGUGAGAAGAAUUAAAUCUGUCAGCAAGGGAAGAGGCGCAGGGAGAAGAAUUGGUUGCCCUACCUAUCUCUCAAGGGGCUAUUUAUUUAUAUAGGAAUUUUGAAUAAAUAGGAAUUUUUACUCACGUAGGCUCUUCAAACUCUGUUAGGAUCC